rnacentral:rRNA from 1 species
ACGGUGAGGGAUGAAAGCUGGGGGAGCAAACCGGAUUAGAUACCCGGGUAGUCCCAGCUGUAAACUAUGCAAACUCAGUGAUGCAUUGGCUUGUGGCCAAUGCAGUGCUGCAGGGAAGCCGUUAAGUUUGCCGCCUGGGAAGUACGUACGCAAGUAUGAAACUUAAAGGAAUUGGCGGGGGAGCACCACAAGGGGUGAAGCCUGCGGUUCAAUUGGAGUCAACGCCU